rfam:Elusimicrobia bacterium RIFOXYB2_FTLL_50_12 rifoxyb2_full_scaffold_889, whole genome shotgun sequence.
UCCGGGGUGGUGUAACGGCAGCACAAGGGAAUUUGGAUCCCUUUGUCAAGGUUCGAAUCCUUGCCCCGGAG